UUUUAUUGGGGCUUCAUUGUAUAGGCAUGAUUGAUUGAUUACCUAUGUGGUUGAACUGUCUCUAGGUUGACAGACAUCUUGUGACCCAAAUCCCCCACUUCAAUUGAUAUAGUUGGUCUUCCUGACACAGCAAGCCCCGGAUCCCAAAACUAUUGAGUAUGGCCAGCCCCAUUGCUGAGUCAUCUUGUUAGCACAAACUAUCAGGGUGGUCCAAGGGGCCCACCAUGACUGACAAAGACACUUGUAUGAUUUUGGGAAAUUCCAAGACUUUAGAAGUUACCUCCCAGAAACUGGGAUAAAGAUCAGAACUGUCUGGCUUUUUGAGGCUAAAUUCCUUACUACACAUUAAUAGAAGAACCAGCAAAUGUCAAUGUUAGUAAUUUAAAUUUUCCCAUUGUUAUACAGAGCCUGGCUCACUAUGGCGUUUCACCUCCCAGUUCCAGUUUGGAGAUGAUUGGUCUGGUGCUGUUGCUGUGCCCACUGUACAUACAAACGUACCCUCUGUGGUUUUCCAUGUUGACUCCUAUUUUUGUGUGAACUCUCUUUAAAGUCUUUAAUUUUUGUCUCCACUCCUAUUGGACUGGUGCCUCAGUCCCAGAAGCACUGCUUCGUAUGUUUUCAAUCCUUUUCAGUCAGUGUUUGAGUUAAUGGGAUUGUCACCAGGAGCAUCCACACUUGAGAGACAGCCCAGCAGAGAGUAAGAUACAUGCCCAAUUCUUAGAUUAAUUUAUUCAUAAACUAUUUGUCACACUCCUUUGUGCCAGGCACAAUUCUGAACACAGGGCACUUAGUUGAGCUUAGAGGUUAAUGGGAAAGGCAGAUAUUAUACGGAUAAUCACACAGAAAUACACAGAAAUUGUGAUAAGGUCUGCAAAGGAAAUUACAGGUUUCCUUAAAACAGUAAAACAAGAGGAGCAAAUUUAGGUUGAGAGGGAGGAAAGUGUUCUUUGAGGAAGUGACAUUUAAUUCAAGACUUAAAGUAGGGUAAUUAUUAGCCAAACGACUAGGAACCCUGAUUUGAUUUGAGCUGGUAAGAACAGCAUGAUGUGACUUCUAAAUUUAAUCUUUGCACUGCACACUCCCCCUCCCAUCAAAUGAGGAAAAUGAUCCUUAACUAAAUUUGAAAUUAAAUCACCCUUUAAUCUAAGGUUCUUACUGGCUCUGGGGAUUAAAAAGAAACCUAGUAAAAUAUUUAGUGAGGUUAUGAAGAAAUAUUCCAAGAGAAGAAGAAUUUGGGAAAUUUUCAGUUUAUCUCAUGCCUGCAUCUGCAGCCCUUGAAGGCUGUUUUCUAUCUUUUAGUACAUGGGUACCUCUGAGAUCCACUGUGCUUUCUUUCCAUGAUAUAUGUUGAUCUAAUCAUCAAAAUUGCCUUUAUUCUUUUGCAUAGUCACAUUUUUCCCAGGCAAAGGAACCAGAGAUCAUUGUAAGACAUUGUGAACUCUUCUUCAAUGAGAUGAGCCAGGUAUACUGCAAUGAAAAAGUUAACCAGCUCUGAUACCCAGCUUAAAGGAUAUUGGAAUGAAAGCCAUGAUAUAUUUGAAGAGGCACUCUUCCUUUUAAUCCUGUUGGAUGGUUCUUUCCCCAGCCAGGGGUAGUUUCCACACGUUUGCCAGGCAUGCAUAGGAAUGAAGAUAAGAGAUCCAAGAUGCAAGAAAGCCAAUAUGGUAGAGUGGUGCUAAUAUGUCCUAGAAUCCCGUCUAUAUCAUAGGACCAAAGAGGAACAAGUUCACACAAGGAGAAGAAUGGAGGUCAAGGGAAUGGGAAUCUCUGGGGGGAAAAAGGAAAGAAAUUAAUAACCUACUUGAUAUGCUGGAAACAUUUGGGAGAAAUUACUAAUACAUGUUGUUAAGAAUCUGGUGAAGGACUUAGAAAAAAAUAGAAAAUUGAUAGACAGCAAAUGAAAAAACGAGGUAAUUAUUAACUAAUAAAAAGUUGUACUAGAAAGGAAAUGUACUCACGGUACUCAUUUUGGACAGUGACAAUAUUUGAUCAUAAUCAUGUAAUAUAUGCACUGACUAUGAUUUAACCACAGAUUUUGAUGUAACCAUGUUGGGAAGGUGAGAGUAGUGGUGUGCUACCAUAGAAGGAAGUCAAUAGAUCAUGUCUAAUAUUGAUAACUCAAGGGCAUAAGCAUAUUAUUUAGAAAUUGCUAAAAUGGAAUCGUAUUGGAACGUGGAAGUAGAACAUGGUAUUGCUGUUUUCUUGAUGGGGUGUGAUAAGGAUGGAACAGACCUUUGUAGCACUGUUGUUUUUUUUAGACAUGUGCAGGUAGUAUUUUGAUUAUAACAACUUUUGAUUUUUUUAAAAAAAUUAGCUAUAACUUAAUAUGUACAAUUUAUUUUGUUGAGUAACAAGAACAAUGAUAACAAUAAUAUGUAUGUUUUGAUAUAAGAAUUCCAGUGAGGUUGGGAAUAAUAACAUGAAUCCUUGGAGAUAUAAAAGCAGAGAACCACUGAUUUAUGUCUAACUGGGUUUGGUAUUUUUUUCAUGAAUUUCCACAAAUGUAAGUUUCCAUUAGGGAUCUCUGCAUGAGAAGUAGGAGAAGCUCAGAACCUGUAUAUUUUUUUCAAAGAAGUGGUUGAACUUCCCUAGGAUCAUCUCUUACCAGUUGUUCAUCUCCAUACCAUAGACCAAACCAUAGAGUCAUCCUUGUACCAUGUGUCCUAAAGCCAUUCUGUGUUUUUCUUAAUACUACUAAAAAAGACAAACUGCUGGGAAUAAAUAGGAAAGAAUUUGAGAACUAAAAUUGUUAUUAGGCACUUAUUAUUUAUAUUCCAUUUACUUCUCCAUAGAUUUGAGGUUUUAACCCAUGAGUGAGUAUUAGCAAAGUCAUGGUGCAUCUAAACCUAAUACUGAUAAUUGAAAGCCCUAUGCAAUGCUAACUAUGUGCCAGGGUCUGUGCCCAGCACUUUGUGUAUAUUACUUCAUGUAACUCCUACAAUUAGGGUUAGGUACCAUGAUUAACACUGUUUCCUUUUUAUAGUUGAGCACUAACUGAGGCACAGAGAAGGUAAGUACCUUGGUCAAGAUCAUCCAGUUAAUAAGUGGAGAACCAGGAUUUUUAUACACUUUGCAUUUUCUUUCCAAUGUAAAAAUCAUGUAUUGUCUGGUUAACAUACUUGAGAUGAUGCUAUAGAAAAUAGAGAUGAUAUAGAAGGGGAGAUCUAUAUUUUAAAAACUUAAAAGUCUCACAUCAUCUGUCCAAGGAUAGAGAAAGACAUGUCUGAAAAGACAAGAAUAAGCAAUGAUGUCUCAACUUUAGGGUUUGGGUGCAGGCUGCAGGUGCCUGGGGAGCACUGUGUCCCACAGCACAGAGGUAGGAGGUGGAGUCUCUGGGCUGGGAGUCUGUGAUGUGCAGGGAGCUGUGACUUUCCUUUGUUUAUCGAGGCGAAUACUCUUCCAUUCUUCAUCUGUAAGCUCAGGAUAAACACGGAGACAACACUUCCUCCAGGAUCAGUGUAAGGUGGUCCUCCUGUUGCAUAACCGCAGUUGACUGUGAUAAAUUCUCCUUCCUGGCACUCAGGUACUGGGGACUCUGCUCCACUAUGGACUUGCUACUUACCCCUGUUUUCAAAGACAUCAACAAGAACAGAAUAGUAUCAUUAUUGAGGCAUUUCUACACAUUUCUUUCCUUUACAUAUUUGCCAGAAGCACUCCAGAUUAACCACUUGGAGUCCCUUCUCUCCCCUUCCCAGAAUUUUGAAAAAACAUCUCAUGUCCUAAAACUGCCCAACUUACAGCUUAGCAGAAGCCACAAAAUAGCCAACAAAACUGGCCACUUCUUCAUCACUGUGUCUGCAGCAGAAGCUCACACAGGUCUCUGUUAGAGGAUUUUGGAAUAUAUGUUAGUUGAUCAAAGGACUCUGUUAUUAUUAUAAUUUCUCUCCAUUUACUGUAGAAUCAAAGAGGAGUCCUGACCCAUCAGAGAUAGCAGAAAUGCACAUGUAUGCACUUUUUCAGGGUUACCUGCAAAGUGAACUGUACAUAAUCUUUUAAAUAUAAUGCCCACAUUGCCACCUAGAGACAAGAUACGUGCUCAUUUAUUAUCUAGGUCAAAUACUCUGAUUAAAAAGCAAGACAGAAAACCAGACUUAGCAUCAUCCAUCAUCCAACUUGUUCUACAUAUCACAAUUGAUUUUUAUAAAGCUACUGCAUAAAUAUAUAGUUAUCUACAUUAAAUAUGAUUUUGGUAGUUUCUGUCCAUCUUUCCAGUUUGUUGAGAUGAUUUUCAAUGUUUAAUUUAUGAUAUAUAUAAACAUAUUAGCUACCAAUCUCAGCAUUGUGCUAUUUAUGCAUUCGAUGGGCAUACCUUAUGUGACUUUACAGAGAUGAAUAAACAGGUCAGGCUGAAGGAUAAAAUCCUGUGGUGACAACAAUAGAGACAUUUCUCUACAAAUUGAAUCUCUAUCUAUGGCCAUUCUUUCAGCUGAGGAUCCACCAAUGGUAGCAUCAUGUGGAACAGCAAUGCGAAAAGAGAAUACCAUGUGGUGCCAGAUGAACUUACAUUAAGCAGUAGUACUUAGCCCCACUACUUACUAGAUACUACUGGGUUUUAAGUAGUUACCACAACUUUCCAGUCCUCAGUGUCCUCAUCUAUAAAAUGGGCACAGCAAUACCAAACUUGUAGCUUUGAGGUGAGGAUUACAAAUAACAUUGAGAGUUAACAAAGCAUAGUGGUUAAGAAUGCAGGCUUUGGGCUAGUUUAUCUGUACUUGUAUGCCAGCUCUCCUCUUACUAACUCUGUGUUCUUGGGCAAGUUAGUUAAUUUCUCUAUACCUUGGUUUCCUUAUCUUUAAAAAAGGGCUAGUCAUUGUACCUGUGCCAUGAGGUUGUAGUAAGGAUUAAAUGAAUUAAUGUAUAUGAAGCACUUAGAACAAUAUUUCAUACAUAUUAAGUACUUGGUGUUAGCUAUUAUUAUAGAUAGUACAAAAGGGCUUGUGAUAAAUACAUUACUUAAUAAAUGGUACAUGAUACAUAUUUUUUAUCUUCCUAAUGAUAUAGUGAGGAAAAAAAUGCCAAACAUUUGACACAAUUUAAGUCCAUAGAAAUCCCUUGAAUUUAGCAGCCUUGUUUUAAAAAUGUCUUUAGUGAACUGUCUGGCUCAUACUGACCACCGCAUUAUUUUCUAACAGCUCACAUGUUGUCUGGUAAUAAUCUGCUCUACAUUUUGCUGGGUAUUAACCCAUCUUUUCUGUGUUCAUAGGUUUGGGAUUUCUUUCAUUCCCCUUAGGUUUUUGAAGUUUUUGCCCAAUGCCUCUCCAGUCAUGCCUGCAAACUCUUUUUGUAUUUUGGGAAUGAAUUUAAAUGGCCUGGAAGACUUGAUCAUUUUGAAAGCAUCUAAGCCCUCUCUUAGUAUUUCUUCAUUUGUCAUAAUUUCCCAUUUCUUUGCUUUUUCUUUCCCAGUUAGAAAAUUAUUCUGUUUGAUGGAGAAUAAAGGAUUUAAAAAAGCAGGAGUUGAGGUGCUCUACUUUUUUUUUUAUUCUCUACCAAACAAUUACAUUUUCCUUGCUAUGUAAAUCAACAAUCUUCCCCACCCCACUGUCUUCUUUAAACUAUUCUAAAAUGCACUUUAUGUUGCACUUCACAUUUUCUUUAAGCUUUAACUUUGUUCUGGGUUUUCACUUUAUAAUGCUUUCCUUAAAGGCUCUAUGCACUCUUCACUAUUCCCCUUUGCUUGUGUGUCAGACAGUCAGUAUUUUUAUAAUUUUUAGUUAGAAUCUGAGUUAGUAUACCUCCAUGUACUGCUAUAAG